rnacentral:lncRNA from 1 species
AUGUCGAAUGCUAUGAGGUUAAAUCCACUAUUUGGAGAUUUGCUAGUCAUUCAGUACCCAAGGUCACAACAGCUGAGACCCCCUGAGCAUCAAUCCACAGAGACUACCACCUUCAGAGAACUACAAUUAAAAGAUUGGAGUGGCAAGAGUCAGCCUUACAACACUCAAGUCACAAACUUUAUCUGCAUCACUCAAAAUCCAAGGAAUUCUGAAGAACUACACUUCAAGAAAGUCAAAGCAUCAUCACAACAUACAGACCACGGAAACAGUAUUCUUCACCGUAUGAAAAGUGCAAUCCUUUGUUUAUUCCAUCACAAAACUGUUGUUGAAUCAAUGCAGUACAAGGUUUAAAUUAUUUGAAUCAGGCUGUGCAUAAAAGGAUUCUAAUCACUCAAAGAUGAUGCUCUUCUGAAUCAAAAUAUGAGCAAGGUCAGGUUCUUGAAAAUAUCAUCACCCAUGUUGACAAAUUCUCCAAGAAAUUCAACAGGUGCUGGUAUUUUCCUGAAUGACAGCAGCCUCCAGGCCUGAAAACUGUAAAAAGUAGAGCUUUGAAAUUCACAGAAAAAGAGUAUAAUAUGGUAUUAAGUGAAAAAAUUUGUUACAGUGCCAGCAGCUGGAUUCCAGUGCAGAGUGCCAGUACAUAGAGAAGGUGGCAUAUUCAAAGACUUCUGUUGCUGAAUUUUGGAAAAAUGAAUGAAUUAUAUCUGCAAAUCAGAAAAAUGCAUCUGUAUCUCUACCAACAAAAUAUAUUGUGCAAUAAUGUAAUACUUGGUAAUUAUACAAUACAUGUCAUUAAUCACAAGUACAAAACUCACUGGCUAUAUUGAAUUUUCAGCAGAAAGGUGGCUCAAUUCAGAAUUUGGAAAUGCAAUAACGCACACUAAUUUCUAUAUAAAUAAAUUCAAGCUCAUUUAUAAAUAAAAAUAUGUU